rnacentral:lncRNA from 1 species
CCGCCGCCCACCCCCGGCCCCGAGCCGCUCACAGCCCCGAGCCGGGGGCGGCUGCCCAGCUCAUCGCACCGCCGGCCCGUGGCAGCCAGCAGUGGCUUCAGACCUCCGGAGCGCGCCGCCGCCGCCGCCUCCUCGCUGCAUCGUCCGGAGUUGGGGGCUGCCCGCGGGACGCGCCCGUGCGCGCCGCCGCCUCCCCGGGAGCGCGCACGCACCUUUCGCUCUGGGCGGGCCGGCCUGGGCAACGCGCUGGGGUUUUAAAGUGCCUCGGCGGGCGAAGGGCUCGGGUCACCCUCUCCGCAAGAGCCGGUCCCCGCCCCACGCGGUCACUGCGUCUAAUGUUUGCUUGUCUAUUGUCUGUAACCCUCCUUUCCCGACGGACGGGCCAGGCUGGAGCCACCGGCCGCGCCUGCAGCUCAGUGGGCGCCCCAGGUCCCCGGAAACGCCUGGAUGCGGCCGUUCUGGUUGCGAAAAAGCAGCAUGCUUUCCUGUUUAGUGGGAAAACUCAAAUAAAUAGAAAUCAUCCUUUAUCUUACCAUCGGUGAUCAACUUUAUCGUUUCCGUAUCUAUUAUUAGAAUUUAUACUACAUAUAUUUGUUUUCCAGAAAGAUCUUAG